rnacentral:misc_RNA from 1 species
UUUCCGUAGGUGAACCUGCGGAAGGAUCAUUAUCGUACAAAAUGUGAGGGGCAUGCGAGGGCUGUCGCUGACCCGAAAGGUCGUGAACGCCCGAGUGCCCUCACACACAUCCAUCUCACCCCUAUGUGCACCACCGCGUGGGUCCCCCUUUGGCUUGUUCGGAGGGGGGCUUACGUUUUCACACAAACUUUGUAUGCAGUGUAGAAUGUAUUUUUUGUUUUUGCGAUCACGCAAUCAAUACAACUUUCAACAACGGAUCUCUUGGCUCUC